rnacentral:rRNA from 1 species
GAUCCUGGCUCAGGAUGAACGCUAGCGGCAGGCUUAACACAUGCAAGUCGAGGGGCAGCAUGACACGGAGAUUCGUCGAAGUGUUGAUGGCGACCGGCGCAAGGGUGCGUAACGCGUGAGCAACUUGCCCGUUUCUGGGGAAUAACCGGUGGAAACGCCGACUAAUACCCCAUAGUAUAACGAAGAGGCAUCUUUUUGUUAUUAAAGAACUUCGGAUAAGGAUAGGCUCGCGUGACAUUAGCUAGAUGGCGGGUAACGGCCCACCAUGCCCACGAUGUCUAGGGGUUCUGAGAGGAAGGUCCCCCACACUGGAACUGAGACACGGUCCAGACUCCUACGGGAGGCAGCAGUGAGGAAUAUCGGUCAAUGGCCGGAAGGCUGAACCAGCCAAGUAGCGUGAAGGAUGAAGGUUCUAUGGAUUGUAAACUUCUUUUAUACGGGAAUAAAACCUCCCACGUGUGGGAGCUUGUAUGUACCGUAUGAAUAAGCAUCGGCUAACUCCGUG